AGGAAUAUUGGACAAUGGAGGCAACUCUGAUCCAGCCAUGCCGCGUGUAGGAAGACUGCCCUAUGGGUUGUAAACUACUUUUAUAUGGGAAGAAACCGUGGUAUGUAUACCACCUUGACGGUACCAUAAGAAUAAGGAUCGGCUAACUCCGUGCCAGCAGCCGCGGUAAUACGGAGGAUCCAAGCGUUAUCCGGAAUCAUUGGGUUUAAAGGGUCCGUAGGCGGAUUUUUAAGUCAGUGGUGAAAGUUUGCGGCUCAACCGUAAAAUUGCCAUUGAUACUGUAAGUCUUGAAUUACUAUGAAGUGGUUAGAAUAAGUAGUGUAGCGGUGAAAUGCAUAGAUAUUACUUAG
rnacentral:rRNA from 1 species